rnacentral:tRNA from 1 species
GCCGCGGUGGUGAAAUUGGUAGACACGCAGCGUUCAGAGCGCUGUAGCCGCAAGGCUGUGAGAGUCCGAGUCUCUCCCGCGGCA